rnacentral:rRNA from 1 species
GAUGAACGCUGGCGGCGUGCCUAAUACAUGCAAGUCGAGCGGAAGGACGAUACGCUUGCUUCUUUGAUGUUAGCGGAGGACGUGUGUGUCACACGUGUAUAACCUACCUAUAAGACUGGGAUCACUUCGGGAAACCGGCGAUAAUACCGGAUAAUAUUUUGCACCGCAUGGUUCAUAAGUGAAAGACGGUCUUUUCGGCGGUUAUGGCUGGAUUGGCGCUGUAUUAGCUAGUUGGUGAGGUAGUGGCUUACCAAGGCUACGAUGGGUAGCCGACCUGAGAGGGUGACCGGCCACCUUGGGACUGAGAGACGGCCCAGACUCCUACGGGAGGCAGCAGUGGGGAAUAUUGCACAAUGGGCGGAAGCCUGAUGCAGCAACGCCGCGUGCGGGAAGACGGCCUUCGGGUUGAAAACCGUUUUCGCCUGUGACGAAGCGUGAGUGACGGUAACGGAUAAAGAAGCCCCGGCUAACUACGUG